ACUCCUACGGGAGGCAGCAGUAAGGAAUAUUGGACAAUGGUGGCAACACUGAUCCAGCCAUGCCGCGUGAAGGAUGAAGGCCCUAUGGGUUGUAAACUUCUUUUGUACGGGAAAAACCUUCUUACGUGUAAGAAGCUGAUUGUACUGUAAGAAUAAGGAUCGGCUAACUCCGUGCCAGCAGCCGCGGUAAU
rnacentral:rRNA from 1 species